rnacentral:rRNA from 1 species
GAUGAACGCUGGCGGCGUGCCUAAUACAUGCAAGUCGAGCGAACAGACGAGGAGCUUGCUCCUCUGACGUUAGCGGCGGACGGGUGAGUAACACGUGGAUAACCUACCUAUAAGACUGGGAUAACUUCGGGAAACCGGAGCUAAUACCGUAUAACAUGUUGAACCGCAUGGUUCAACAGUGAAAGACGGUCUUGCUGUCACUUAUAGAUGGAUCCGCGCCGCAUUAGCUAGUUGGUAAGGUAACGGCUUACCAAGGCAACGAUGCGUAGCCGACCUGAGAGGGUGAUCGGCCACACUGGAGCUGAGACACGGUCCAGACUCCUACGGGAGGCAGCAGUAGGGAAUCUUCCGCAAUGGGCGAAAGCCUGACGGAGCAACGCCGCGUGAGUGAAGAAGGUCUUCGGAUCGUAAAACUCUGUUAUUAGGGAAGAACAAAUGUGUAAGUAACUAUGCACGUCUUGACGGUACCUAAUCAGAAAGCCACGGCUAACUACGUG